UAGGGAAUCUUCCGCAAUGGACGAAAGUCUGACGGAGCAACGCCGCGUGAGCGAAGAAGGCCUUCGGGUCGUAAAGCUCUGUUGUAAGGGAAGAACAAGCGCCGGUUAACUGCCGGCGCCCUGACGGUACCUUACCAGAAAGCCACGGCUAACUACGUGCCAGCAGCCGCGGUAAUACGUAGGUGGCAAGCGUUGUCCGGAAUCAUUGGGCGUAAAGCGCGCGCAGGCGGUUUCUUAAGUCUGAUGUGAAAGCCCACGGCUCAACCGUGGAGGGUCAUUGGAAACUGGGAGACUUGAGUGCAGAAGAGGAAAGCGGAAUUCCACGUGUAGCGGUGAAAUGCGUAGAGAUGUGGAGGAACACCAGUGGCGAAGGCGGCUUUCUGGUCUGUAACUGACGCUGAGGCGCGAAAGCGUGGGGAGCAAACAGGAUUAGAUACCCUGGUAGUCCACGCCGUAAACGAUGAGUGCUAAGUGUUAGGGGGUUUCCGCCCCUUAGUGCUGCAGCUAACGCAUUAAGCAGUCCGUCCUGGGGAGUAGCGGCCGCAAGGUCUG
rnacentral:rRNA from 3 species